rnacentral:rRNA from 1 species
ACUGGCCCGGAAUGGGGGGCGACCCCCGUCCUGGGCCGGAAAGUUAUCCGAACUCGGUCAUUUAGAGGAAGUAAAAGUCGUAACAAGGUCUCCGUUGGUGAACCAGCGGAGGGAUCAUUA